rnacentral:rRNA from 1 species
UGGCCGGUACAAAGGGCAGCCACUUAGCGAUAAGGAGACCAAUCCCGUAAAAGCCGGUCUCAGUCCGGAUUGGAGUCUGCAACUCGACUCCAUGAAGUUGGAAUCGCUAGUAAUCGCAGAUCAGCACGCUGCGGUGAAUACGUUCCCGGGCCUU